rnacentral:rRNA from 1 species
UACGGAGGGUGCAAGCGUUGUCCGGAUUUAUUGGGUUUAAAGGGUGCGUAGGCGGCCCGUUAAGUCAGUGGUGAAAGCCUCCAGCUCAACUGGGGAACUGCCAUUGAUACUGACGGGCUUGAGUACAGACGAGGUAGGCGGAAUUGAUUGUGUAGCGGUGAAAUGCAUAGAUACAAUCAAGAACUCCGAUUGCGUAGGCAGCUUACUAGGCUGUAACUGACGCUGAGGCACGAAAGCGUGGGGAGCAAACAGG